rnacentral:lncRNA from 1 species
UACAAAUCAGCAAUGACUCUGUCUAAGUUGGUCUCAAAUUGUGAAACCUCCACCCAAUUAGCACAUCCAGUCGGUGGGUCAGGUAAAUUGAACACUCCUGUAAUCAUUUGUGGGCGAUAAUCAACUUGAAGACCUCUGACAAAAGAAAAUCCACUCAUAGUCUCCUUUGCGUUGGCAUAAAAUUCAGGUACAAUACCCAUGGGUGCAGGCAUUGGGGUAAACACCACUUCAAUCCAGCAUCUUUCUCUGAUCAUGUCCCAAAGUUGUCCAUCUUGUUUGUCAGGUUUGAACCCACGCUCCUUCACAAAUGUUUUUGCA